GGAUGAAUCGGCGAAAAUUAUGAUUUGUAAUCAUCAGGAGUUGGUUCGAUUCCGACCGGGGGCACCA
rnacentral:tRNA from 1 species